GGGGAAUCGACCCCCUCGGUGUCGUAGCCAACGCGUUAAGUGUUCCGCCUGGGGAGUACGCACGCAAGUGUGAAACUCAAAGGAAUUGACGGGGGCCCGCACAAGCGGUGGAGUAUGUGGUUUAAUUCGAUGCAACGCGAAGAACCUUACCAGGGUUUGACAUCCUGCGAAUCUCUUGGAAACGAGAGAGUGCCUUCGGGAGCGCAGUGACAGGUGGUGCAUGGCUGUCGUCAGCUCGUGUCGUGAGAUGUUGGGUUAAGUCCCGCAACGAGCGCAACCCACGUCUUUAGUUGCCAGCAUUUAGUUGGGCACUCUAGAGAGACCGCCGGUGAUAAACCGGAGGAAGGUGUGGAUGACGUCAAGUCAUCAUGCCCCUUACAUCCUGGGCUACACACGUACUACAAUGCUACGGACAAAGGGCAGCAAGUUCGCGAGGACAAGCAAAUCCCAUAAACCGUGGCUCAGUUCAGAUCGUAGGCUGCAACUCGCCUACGUGAAGGAGGAAUCGCUAGUAAUCGCAGGUCAGCAUACUGCGGUGAAUACGUUCCCGGGCCUUGUACACACCGCCCGUCACACCAUGGAAGUUGGCCACGCCCGAAGCCGUUACUCCAACCCUUGUGGAGGAGGACGUCGAAGGUGGGGCUGAUGACUGGGGUGAAGUCGUAACAAGGUAACCGUA
rnacentral:rRNA from 1 species